AGGGUUUGAUCCUGGCUCAGGAUGAACGCUAGCGGCAGGCUUAACACAUGCAAGUCGAGGGGUAACAGGAGUAGCUUGCUACUUGCUGACGACCGGCGCACGGGUGCGUAACGCGUAUACAAUCUACCUUUUGCUGAGGAAUAGCCCAGAGAAAUUUGGAUUAAUGCCUCAUAGUAUGUUGACUUCGCAUGGAGAUAACAUUAAAGGUUACGGCAAAAGAUGAGUAUGCGUCCUAUUAGUUAGUUGGUGUGGUAACGGCACACCAAGACUACGAUAGGUAGGGGCCCUGAGAGGGGGAUCCCCCACACUGGUACUGAGACACGGACCAGACUCCUACGGGAGGCAGCAGUGAGGAAUAUUGGACAAUGGAGGCAACUCUGAUCCAGCCAUGCCGCGUGCAGGAAGACUGCCCUAUGGGUUGUAAACUGCUUUUAUACAGGAAGAAACCGCUCUACGUGUAGAGCUCUGACGGUACUGUAAGAAUAAGGAUCGGCUAACUCCGUGCCAGCAGCCGCGGUAAUACGGAGGAUCCAAGCGUUAUCCGGAAUCAUUGGGUUUAAAGGGUCCGUAGGUGGAUAAUUAAGUCAGAGGUGAAAGUUUGCAGCUCAACUGUAAAAUUGCCUUUGAUACUGGUUAUCUUGAGUUAUUAUGAAGUAGUUAGAAUAUGUAGUGUAGCGGUGAAAUGCACAGAUAUUACAUAGAAUACCAAUUGCGAAGGCAGAUUACUAAUAAUAUACUGACACUGAUGGACGAAAGCGUGGGUAGCGAACAGGAUUAGAUACCCUGGUAGUCCACGCCGUAAACGAUGGAUACUAGCUGUUCGACUUCGGUUGAGUGGCUAAGCGAAAGUGAUAAGUAUCCCACCUGGGGAGUACGUUCGCAAGAAUGAAACUCAAAGGAAUUGAC
rnacentral:rRNA from 1 species